rnacentral:rRNA from 1 species
GUGCCAGCCGCCGCGGUAAUACGUAGGGAGCGAGCGUUGUCCGGAUUUAUUGGGCGUAAAGAGCGCGUAGGCGGCUAGGUAAGUCGGGUGUGAAACCUCCAAGCUCAACUUGGAGCGGCCACUCGAAACUGCCUUGGCUAGAGUCUGGUAGUGGAACACGGAAUUCCUGGUGUAGCGGUGAAAUGCUUAGAUAUCAGGAGGAACACCAGUGGCGAAGGCGGUGUUCUGGGCCAGUACUGACGCUGAGGCGCGAAAGCGUGGGGAGCGAACAGGAUUAGAAACCCUGGUAGUCC